UUGGGUGUGCUGUUGUCUGCAAUUGCUGUGUGCCAAAAAGGCUGAAAACUUAAACUUCCCUCCUUGUAGAAGAAAAAGCCAAUCUCAAAAAGUUGAAACUUUAAUUGUCACACAAGCUCUCCUCCCUCUGCAAAAACCUCGAGCACCUACACCUCUCCUCCCUCAGCACCGAACUCUACUGCGCCUCUGCCUCUUCCUCUUCCUCCUCGUCGACCCCUCGAAUUCCGUUCAGAUCCAGUCACCAGAAGGCUUUUCUCCCACCGCUUCGACCUCUGCCUCCUCCAUCAACCCCGACUUUCUCUUCGGAUUCGACAAGGGAUACGCCUGAUUCCGUUCCAAAAUUGCUUGAUUCCAUCCCUCCUCCGAUGGUUCCUGAUUCUCUUUUGAAGGCAUUCCCAAUGACAACGUCACUAUAGUUCAACAAGGCAAGAAUCCCGGCGACCCGAUCAUUGUCAAGGUCAAUUGCCUUGACGAGGCCCUGCAUCGGCUGCGACCUCUGUAGAAUUGUGCUCCAGUUCGGCCUUUGCAUUACCAAAGGAGGGAUGUAAUAGGUGAAGGGGAAACAAAUGGAGGACAUCCUGAUAUUAAGAGCAUGAAAUAAGUGAAGUUGCGGAAACGAGAAGAAAUUACGCGAAAAUGAGAGCAAUUCGUGACUUUCGACAAAAGGACAAAAUUAUGGAUGCCUUAAUUAACCAAUUAAGCAUGGUUUAAUUAAUCAAUGAAGUAUUGGUUAAUUAGCUACUUAAUUCAACAUGCAUGCACGUUUGGUACCAUUAAUUGGUAUGACCAAUUAGGAGCUGACAUGUGGCAUUGAGCAUUCAAAUUAUGCAAAGACUAAUCACGUGGGAUGCGAUCAGAAGCAUUUUUUCUUCCUUUGUCUUGACUUUGAAAACGCACCGCAUCGUCCCAGACCCCUUAUCCUUUUCUCUUCUAUCUCAAGCAGUGGCCACGACAAUUAAUAUAAAUACCCUCUUCAUCUUAUUCUCUGGAGAGAACCCUACGGAGAGACAACACGGAACAGCCGCAGCUUGGGGAGGGCUGCUGCCCUUCCUCCCCUCCUUCACUAUUUUCCAGAUUUUUGUUAGUUUUAUUUUAGAGAAUUGAAGAAUUACUCACCUAAAACUUCAAGGAUUCAUCAAAGGCAUCUACCUCUACAAGAUUCAAAACUUGGGUAAUUGUGGGAGUUGUAAUUCAAGACUAGUCAUGCUAGCUUUUUAGCUAUUUGUGAUUAAUCUUGUUUUCUCCUACACUUCUAUACUCUUUUCCCUUUGAAUUUUGUAUCUUUGAUGUUCAUAAUUAUGGGUUGUGAGUAAUUUCCUUGUUGGGGUUUAGGGUUGUGUCCCUAACCCAAAUUUUGUGUAAAAGAUGCUUAUUUUAAUGUAAUGAUGCAAUUUUCAUA